rnacentral:rRNA from 1 species
AGUUCGGUCCCUAUCUGCCGUGGGUGUAGGAUACUUGAGAGGAGUUGCCCCUAGUACGAGAGGACCGGGGUGAACGAUCCACUGGUGGACCUGUUGUGGCGCCAGCCGCAGUGCAGGGUAGCUAUGAUCGGAAAGGAUAACCGCUGAAGGCAUCUAAGCGGGAAGCCCCCCUCAAAACAAGGUAUCCCUGAGGGCCGUGGUAGACCACCACGUCGAUAGGCCGGAGGUGUAAGCGC